GUAUCGCGAAGAACCCUUACCUUCUCUUGUCAUCCUGAGAACUUAGCAGAGAUGCUUUGGUGCCUUCGGGAACUCUGAGACAGGUGCUGCAUGGCUGUCGUCAGCUCGUGGGUUGUGAAAUGUUGGGUUAAGUCCCGCAACGAGCGCAACCCUUAUCCUUUGUUGCCAGCGGUUCGGCCGGGAACUCAAAGGAGACUGCCAGUGAUAAACUUCGGUUACCUUGGUACGACUUCAUUAGUCAUCAUGGCCCUUACGAGUAGGGCUACACACGUGCUACAAUGGCGUAUACAAAGAGAAGCGACCUCGCGAGAGCAAGCGGACCUCAUAAAGUACGUCGUAGUCCGGAUUGGAGUCUGCAACUCGACUCCAUGAAGUCGGAAUCGCUAGUAAUCGUAGAUCAGAAUGCUACGGUGAAUACGUUCCCGGGCCUUGUACACACCGCCCGUCACACCAUGGGAGUGGGUUGCAAAAGAAGUAGGUAGCUUAAGCACUAUUUUACUUCGGGAGGCGCUAUCACUAGAUCAGUUCC
rnacentral:rRNA from 1 species